UCUGGCGCCGAUAGCGGCGGGGUUCCACCCGUUCCCUUACCGAACACGGCAGUUAAGACCGCCAGCGCCGAUGGUAGUCGGACCGCAGGGUCCCUCGAGAGUAGGACAGCGCCAGAU
rnacentral:rRNA from 1 species